GCCAGGCCUGGUGGCUCAUGCCUGUAAUCCCAGUGACUUGGGAGGCUGAGGCAGGAGAAUUGCAAGUUCAAAGCCAGCCUCCAGCAAAAGUGAGGUGCUGAGCCACUCAGUGAGACCCUGUCUCUA
rnacentral:sRNA from 1 species